CCUACGGGAGGCAGCAGUGAGGAAUAUUGGUCAAUGGGCGCGAGCCUGAACCAGCCAAGUCGCGUGAGGGAAGACGGUCCUAUGGAUUGUAAACCUCUUUUGUCGGGGAGCAAAAGACGCCACGCGGGGCGUGCCGAGAGUACCCGAAGAAAAAGCAUCGGCUAACUCCGUGCCAGCAGCCGCGGUAAUACGGAGGAUGCGAGCGUUAUCCGGAUUUAUUGGGUUUAAAGGGUGCGCAGGCGGAAGAUCAAGUCAGCGGUAAAAUUGAGAGGCUCAACCUCGUCGAGCCGUUGAAACUGGUUUUCUUGCGUGAGCGAGACGUAUGCGGCAUGCGUGGUGUAGCGGUGACAUGCAUCGAUCUCACGCAGAACUCCGAUUGCGACGGCAGCAUCCCGGCGCUCAACUGACGCUCAUGCACGAACGUGUGGGUAUCGAACCGGAUUAGAUACCCUUGUCGUC
rnacentral:rRNA from 1 species